AGUGGCGGACGGGUGAGUAACGCGUGAACAAUCUGCCCUAUACACAGGAAUAGCCUCGGGAAACUGGGAUUAAAACCGGAUAACACUUUUUAGCCGCAUGGCUGAGAAGUCAAAUUGAUUUAGAGGUAUAGGAUGAGUUCGCGUCUGAUUAGCUAGUUGGUGAGGUAAUGGCUCACCAAGGCGACGAUCAGUAGCCGGCCUGAGAGGGUGAACGGCCACACUGGAACUGAGACACGGUCCAGACUCCUACGGGAGGCAGCAGUGGGGAAUAUUGCACAAUGGAGGAAACUCUGAUGCAGCGACGCCGCGUGAGUGAAGAAGGUCUUCGGAUCGUAAAACUCUGUCCUUGGUGAAGAAUAAAAUGACGGUAGCCAAGGAGGAAGCCCCGGCUAACUACGUGCCAGCAGCCGCGGUAAUACGUAGGGGGCGAGCGUUGUCCGGAUUUACUGGGCGUAAAGGGUGAGUAGGCGGUAAUAUGUGUCAGAUGUAAAAGGCUAUGGCUUAACCAUAGUUGGCAUUUGAAACUGUAUUACUUGAGUGCAGGAGAGGUAAGUGGAAUUCCUAGUGUAGCGGUGAAAUGCGUAGAUAUUAGGAGGAACACCAGUGGCGAAGGCGACUUACUGGACUGUAACUGACGCUGAGUCACGAAAGCGUGGGUAGCAAACAGGAUUAGAUACCCUGGUAGUCCACGCU
rnacentral:rRNA from 1 species